UACGUAGGGGGCAAGCGUUGUCCGGAUUCAUUGGGCGUAAAGAGCGUGUAGGCGGCCAGAUAGGUCAGCUGUGAAAACUCGGGGGCUCAACCCCUGAGACGUCGGUUGAAAACUAUCUGGCUAGAGUCCGGAAGAGGAGUGUGGAAUUCCCGGUGUAGCGGUGAAAUGCGCAGAUAUCGGGAAGAACACCCGUGGCGAAGGCGGCACUCUGGGACGGUACUGACGCUGAGACGCGAAAGCGUGGGGAGCAAACAGG
rnacentral:rRNA from 1 species